GGCCGCUGGGGCGCCGCGAUCGCCGUGGCAACGCGGGCCGGGCCGGGCCGGGCCGGGCCGGGCCGGGUCGCCACCCCGCCCCGGCCCCGAGUCCCAGGUGCCGCUGAAGGUUGUCGUCGAGCUGCAGGUCUCCUCAUCAGAUGUAAGCAAAAAACCAAAACGGUGGUUUUCACUCGUUCAUUUCCUUGUGUUUGAAAGUGCCAUAGAUCCUGCUGCAGUAACUGAAAG